rnacentral:misc_RNA from 1 species
UCUCCGUAGGUGAACCUGCGGAGGGAUCAUUACAGAGUUCAUGCCCUACCGGGUAGAUCUCCCACCCUAUGUUAUUAUUACUUUGUUGCUUUUGCGGGCCGUUAGGCUCCGGCCCGACUACCGGCCCCGGCUGGUAAGCGCCCGCCAGAGGCCCCAAAACCCCGAAUAUUAGUGUCGUCUGAGUACUAUAUAAUAGUUAAAACUUUCAACAACGGAUCUCUUGGUUCUG